GCUAACACAUCCAGGCCAAUCUCCGGCAGACCCUCCCUCCCAGACCCUCCUACUUCCUGGACAGCAUCCAUGUUGAAGGCAGCUUCAACAUGGAUGCUGUCCAGGAGGUGGGAGGGUCUGGGAGGGAGGGUCUGCUGGAGAUUGGCCGGGAUGUGUCAG
rnacentral:miRNA from 1 species